rnacentral:rRNA from 1 species
GAUGAACGCUAGCUACAGGCUUAACACAUGCAAGUCGAGGGGUAACGAGAGGAAAGCUUGCUUUCCUUGUCGACGACCGGCGCACGGGUGAGUAACGCGUAUCCAACCUGCCCCCAACUAGGGAAUAACCUUGCGAAAGUAAGACUAAUACCCUAUAAUUUCCUCAGAUGUCAUCUGACGAGGAAUAAAGAUUUAUCGGUUGUGGAUGGGGAUGCGUCUGAUUAGCUUGUUGGCGGGGUAACGGCCCACCAAGGCAACGACCAGUAGGGGUUCUGAGAGGAAGUGCCCCCACAUUGGACCUGCGACACGGUCCAAACUCCUACGGGAGGCAGCAGUGAGGAAUAUUGGUCAAUGGGCGGAAGCCUGAACCAGCCAAGUAGCGUGCAGGAUGACGGCCCUAUGGGUUGUAAACUGCUUUUAUACAGGAAUAAAGUUAGCCACGUGUGGUUAUUUGUAGGUACUGUAUGAAUAAGGACCGGCUAAUUCCGUGCCAGCCGCCGCCGUAA